rnacentral:lncRNA from 1 species
GUUUGCAGUUAAAAACACAAAUGAACAGGUAUACAUCAGCAUCUAUUGGUAAUGACAGCAGCAACACUUUCUCGAAAAGAAAAGCAGGAUCUGGCUACUCUGGGUCCGAGUUGUCUUGCUGCCUUUGAGGAGCACGUGCUGCAGCAGACGGCGUGUGGAGCCCCUGCCAGACAGGCGCAAGGGUUGGGCUUGCAGAUCUCAACAGCUCCAUUGCCAUGACGAAUGAAGCUGUCAGAGGAAGAUAUGAUUCUCUGGGCUUGGUCUACAGCCAUAGUUCUGCAGUUGAAGAUCUCAGACCAGGUCUCAGAUGUGAUAUGGAUGGUGAAGAAGACAUAAGGAAGAUGAUGCAGAGUGCACUGGAGAAUUAAGAGGUAUUUGGUGCACUUAAGGGAGGUUGAUAAGUGCUGUAAAGAAGCAUAUUGUAACAGUAAUUGUGCAGAUCAACAGACAUUACAUCACAGGAAAAUAAAUAAAAUCACAGUGUUUCUGAGAUCUGUUUGUUUCUAUAAUAUUUUUUUUUCAAUGAGCUUGUUUUAUAAAAAAAGUGAAUGAAUGGUAUUUUAAACCUAGAAAUAUCAGAUAUAAAGUCUAGGAGUCUUGCAGCUGUCUCCCUGUAUAAAGUAACAACACUCUAGCACUGUUUACCAAGCAGGAGGAAGCACUGAGUUUGGGUCAGAUAUAAGGAUUUCCAUUUCUUUCAGCAUUGGUGGACAUUGUGCCACCCCUUGCUCACAGAAAUUCUAUUUUGGCUGCCUGCCCAUUGGAGAUCUAGAAGAUGUGCAUCUGAUGUUGUGACCAUAUUGCAGAUCUGGGUGGUUACACUCUGCUGCUAGAUGUUUACACUACAUAUUUGUUCCAGGCUAGCAUUCACUCUUGAUUUUACUUACUCUUGACAUAGUGACUGAAACUAGAAGAGCAAUCCCUGUAUUUAGUCUGCAGAUCCCUUAGCAAAAGCUCUUUGAAAAGCUUUGGGAUCUUUCCACUGCACAAAUUUCACGUCUUUGUC